UUAAUGAGAUAGUUCUAGUAUAUAAUUGAAUUGAAAACGAUUUCCACCAAUCAUUUAUUGAGAGUCGAACUUGAUAAGAACGCUGCAUUGGAGUUACAUUCUUGUUUAAUGAUAGUUGACCUUAUGUCAUAGCGUAACGGCCUGGAUUGAGAAUUUCCCGAGGUCGAGUUCGGGAUGUAUCUCCCGGGUCAUGUGGAAAAGAGAAAGCUAGAUAUGGGGCUGUAGGAGCAAAAACGAGCAACUAGAUCGUGCUCUCAAAACCCGAGCCUCCCCGAGGGUUCUCGUGGUAUGACGUAGUUCCGGGGAGCUAGGUCUGAUAGCGCUUUCCCUGAUCUGAGGGUUCACAGUCUUACAUUUAGCCCCAGUUUGCCCACGAGGUUGGUUGUGCGCGUUUUUGUUCGGGUUUCGUUAUUUCGUUUAAGCUAGAAAUAAGCCGUGUGUGUGUCAGGUUACCAAUUUUGUGUGCCUAAGAAAAUCAAGAGCGAUCGCCAAAAACAGCAGCAGGCCCCCUGCCACACACCACACCCCGAUACACCAGCCCGUUGGGCAUACCUUCUUCGCUGGAAAUCAAACCACCAGCUCGCCCGAUUCGUCAACAUAUCGGCAUCCGAAGAAGUCUGGGAGAUUCUGGUGGCACUGGAAGCUACAUCCGGUGUAAGCAACCCCGAUUACACCAGCAUACAUCCGGUCAAACCACGAUUACCAUCCACCACUCACCGAAUGAAAUCUGAGUUGCGAACAGCCAAUCAUCGUCGCCGUCGUCAGCGAGCCACAGCAGCAGCAGCAGAUACAACCAAGUAGGUGCUUUCCAGUAGGGGUUCAUCCAUAAAGGAUGACACCUUUCAUAUAAAACCCAAUUGAUCGAUCAUAACCUUUUUAAUCGGGACGGUUACAAUAAUCCGUUUCCCCGAAGUCAGGUUGCCGAGGCAUUUUUGGUCCACCAUCACAUUUUUUAUGACCGCCCCAACCUAGAAAAACUAAAUAUUCCCCGGGAAGAGCGAUGAAAAGAGCACGGAGAACUAGGUAGAGAAAAGGCACACGGCUAGGUAUAGAGUAGGGUAGCUGGAGUAAUGAUCGUGUUAAUCGUUAAAUGUUAAUUUAUUACUCUUAAUUAAAAUGUAUCCCCUCACCAUCUACAUUCGCCCUUUGAUUACGUUAAUACACUAAAUCCAAAUCCUAGCCAGAAUUUUUAAAUUGAAGAGAAAUGACAACUUCACUUUCGGUCGUUAGUCCAUUCGUCAGCUCGCUCUGCGCUUGGCGCAUUUGAA